rnacentral:rRNA from 1 species
UACGAACUGUGCAAACGUUAUUCGGAAUCACUGGGCUUAAAGGGUGCGUAGGCGGCCAGCUAAGCAGGGUGUGAAAGCCCCCGGCUCAACCGGGGAAUAGCGCCCUGAACUAGCGGGCUGGAGUGAGAUAGGGGUGUGCGGAACUUCCAGUGGAGCGGUGAAAUGUGUUGAUAUUGGAAGGAACGCCGGUGGCGAAAGCGGCACACUGGGUCUCAACUGACGCUGAGGCACGAAAGCCAGGGGAGGCAAACGGGAGUUAGAAAACCCCCAGUA